GGGCUCGUAGCUCAGUCUGGUAGAGCAUCGCCUUCGCAAGGCGGGGGCCGCGGGUUCGAAUCCCGCCGAGUCCA
rnacentral:tRNA from 1 species